rnacentral:tRNA from 1 species
UGUCUGCAUAGUUUAACCAAAACACUAGACUGUGAACCUAGAAAUAGAAAGUAUUCUUGCAAACC